rnacentral:lncRNA from 1 species
CCUGUCUGUCUUGGGUGGCCUGACAAGGCAUGGUUCAUAGUUUGAGUUAGUGAAGGUUGUGGUCUAUGUGAUCAAUUUGGUUAGUUUUCUGUGACUGUGGUUUUCAUUCUUUCUGCCCUCUGAUGGGUAAGGAUUAGAGGGUUAUGGGAGUUUUCUUCCCUGGUAGCUCAGAGGUUAAAGCGUAUGCCUGCAAUGCGGGAGACCUGGAUUUGAUCCCUGGGUCGGAAAGAUCCCCUGGAAAAGGAAAUGGCAACCCACUCCAGUAUUCUUGCCUGGAGAAUCCCAUGGACGGAGGAACCUAGUGGGCUACAGUCCACGGGGUCGCUAAGAGUUGGACACGACUGAGCGACUUCACUUUCACUUUCCUAAUGGGAGAGCCUGACUUUGGGGGAAACUGGAUCUUGUUCUGAUGGGAGGGGCCAUGGGAAAAAGCCAAGAAGCAAGCCCUUGAAGGAUUCCAAGCACAGAGAAACCUUUCCACAGCAAGGAGUUAAGAACAUGGGACAUUCGGAGCCCAUUAGGUGUGGCCACCCCUGGACUGGAGGAAGUAACUUGAUGGGUACUCAGGCACCAAUUAAAGUGCUGAACUCCUUGGCAAAAGUACCCUGGCCUCAGGCCCCUGGCAUUCUUCCACGGAGUUCCCAGCACAGAAGGCAUGCCCACCCAUGGGCUCUGUCAUGCGAGUGUGUGGAGAGUGCAUCUUAUACUCUGUAUACAGAGUACAACUUAUAUGGAGAGUACCUCAUGCUAAAUGCCAGGCUGGAUGAAGUAAAGCUGAAAUUAAAAUUUUCAGAAAGAAUUAUCAUUAACCUCAGAUAUGCAGAUGAUACCACCCUUAUGGCAGAAACUGAAGAGGAGCUAAAGAGCCUCUUGAUGAAGGUGAAAGAGAGUGAAAAAGUUGGCUUGAAACUGAGCAUUCAAAAACUAAGAUCCUGGCAUCCAGUCCCAUCACUUCAUGGCAAAUAGAGGGGGAAACAGUGGAAACAGUGAUAGACUUUCUUUUCUCAGGUUCCAAAAUCACUGCAGAUGGUGACUGCAGCCAUGAAAUUAAAAGACAUUUACACCUUGGAAGAAAAGCUAUGACCAACCUAGACAGCAUAUUAAAAAGCCAAGAUAUUAUUUUGCCAACAAAGGUCCACAUAGUCAAAGCUAUGGUUUUCCCAGUAGUCAUAUAUGAAUGUGAGAGCUGGAACAUAAAGAAAGCUGAGCUCUGAACAAUUGAUGCUUUUGAACUGUGGUGUUGGAGAAGACUCUUCAGCGUCCCUUCGACCACAAGGAGAUCCAACCAGCCCCUCCUUAAGGAGAUCAGUCCUGAGUGUUCAUUGGACAGACUGAUGCUGAAGCUGAAACUCCAAUAACUUUGGCCACCUGAUGCGAAGAAAUGACUCACUGGAAAAGACCCUUAUGCUGGGAAAGAUUGAAGACAGGAUUAGAAGGGAUGAGUGGGAGUGAGAUGGUUGGAUGGCAUCACUGACUCAAUGGACAUGAGUUUGAGCAAGCUCUGGUAGUUGAUGAUGGACAGGGAGGCCUGGAGUGCUGCAGUCCUUGGGGUUGCAAAGAGUUGGACAUGACUCAGAUACUGAACUGAACUAUCCAUAAGGCCACAUCUUAUCACAAGACAUCAUCUAAUCUAGCUAAGUUCAGACUGGAUGUGUUAAAAAACUAUGAUCAUUUUUUAACCAUAAUCUAAAAUCUCUCUGGAGAACAAUCCUCACUAACCUGUAAGAUCAGUUCAAAUGAUAACCCUUUAUUUUAAAGCUUCUUUAUACUGAAUUCAAAUUUCUUGCAUUUGUUAUUCAUGCUUAUUAGUUUUCAUAUCCUAUCCAUAGGAAAAAAAGAUUAGAAUUUAAAGCUGUUUCUGGUGCUACUGAUCCAGCUACAUAAAACAAAUACUUGACAUGGAAAAAAAAAAAAAAAAAACCAUGAAAAGUGUUGAAAAGCAAAUUAAAAACUGAGAAAAAAUAUUUGGAAUUUAUAUCACAAAGAAUUACUUUAAUAUAAAAAUUGCUUUUAUAAGUCAGUAAGAAAACACCAAUAGUCAAAUAUAUAAGUUGUCUAACAAUCUAAACAGAAAGCUGAGAGAAAGGAAAGUAUAAAUUGUUUUGAAAUAUAUGAAAAGAUCCUCAGUUUUCCAAAAUAAUGCAAGUCAAAUGACAACUCUUUCACCUUUGAGAGUGGCAAAAAUUAAAAAAGAAAAUGGGAGAGAUGGGAAAUAGGCAUUUCUUACACUGUCUGAGUAGGGGUUAUAAAUUGUUACAGCUCUUGUAAAUGGCAAUUUGGAAAAUACUUUUUGACACAGAAAUUCUAUUUCUUGGUUUCUCAACAAUGUAUUGGCACAGAUAUAGAAUGAUACAUAUACAGAGUUAUUAAUUGCAUACUUUUUUGUAUAGCAAAAUACUCAAAAUACCUUAAAUGACUUUUAGUAUAGUAUUGUGUUUUUUUUUUGUUUAAAAAAAAAAAACUGAAGAUCUUGCGUGCUGCUAUGAAAAAAAGUCCACAAGAUACAUUUUAAUAGAAUUAAGCAAAGUACAGAAAAAUGUUUAUAAUGUGCUACUAUAGUUGGACUUAAAAGUGUGGGCUAUCUAUACGCCUAUAUUUUCUUAUAUUUAUAAAGAUUAUUUCUGGAGCAUUUUGUAGGAUGCAGUAACCCUACUUCCCCUUAGGAAGGGAAUUCUAUGAGAGAGGCUACAAGAGCAGGCGAGACAGGCAUAAUUUUACACACUUAUUGUCCCCUUUGAAUAUUGUACCAU